GCUGGUUGUGGUGGUGCACACCUGUAAUCCCAGCUAUUCAGGAAGCCGAGGUGGGAGGAUUGCUAGAGCCCAGGAGUUCCAGGCUGUAGUGAGCUAUGCUUGUGCCACUGCACUCCAGCCUGGGCAACAGAGCGAGAGUCUAUCUCAA
rnacentral:SRP_RNA from 1 species